CCUGGUUAACAGGCUGAGUAGGAAGACCUGGUCUUGAUGGACUUCCUGGUCCUAGGGGAGAACCUGGUCCUGAGGGAUUUCCUGGUAUCCCUGGAGAUUGUCUGGAUGUUACUGGUUCAAGAGGUCCUUCAGGAUUUCCCGGAUAGGAGGAAUCCCUGGAGAGGAUGGGCAUGAUGGAAUCCCAGGAGAAAGAGGUAGAAGAGGUGAGGACUGUGGGGUUUGUCCUGGGGGUGAGCCUGGUUUUAGGGGAGAUCCAGGUGAUCCUGGUUUUGAUGGACUUCCUGGACAACCAGGUCAACCAGGUUUCCCAGGACAACCAGGAGAACAAGGCAUACCUGGAAUAGCUGGUCAAAAGGGCAUACUGGGUUCAGAUGGUUUUCCUGGAGAAGUUGGAAGGGUUGGACCUAAAGGUGAGCCUGGGGAUUUGGAAGUCCCCUCCACUCUAAGAAUGAAGGGGAAGCCUGGCGAGCAGGGACCAAGGGGACCAGUUGGCAGAGCAUGAUCACCAGGAUCUGGUGGCCCCCACAGACCCCCAGGUUUCUCUGGGAU